rnacentral:rRNA from 1 species
CCCUUAGAUGUUCUGGGCUGCACGCGCGCUACACUGAUGCACUCAACGAGUUUACGACCUUGCCCGAUAGGGUUGGGAAAUCUUUUUAAAAUGCAUCGUGAUGGGGAUAGAUUAUUGCAAUUAUUAAUCUUCAACGAGGAAUUCCUAGUAAGCGCGAGUCAUCAGCUCGUGCUGAUUACGUCCCUGCCCUUUGUACACACCGCCCGUCGCUCCUACCGAUUGAGUGCUCAGGUGAAUAAUUCGGACUGCAGCAAUGUUUGGAUCCCGAACGUUGCAGCGGAAAGUUUAGUGAACCUUAUCACUUAGAGGAAGGAGAAGUCGUAACA